CUCACCGCAUGAGCAGCGUUCCCUCGGUCUAGCCCUUCAUCUCGGUGCUGCAGUCCCCUGGCCUCCCUCGCUGGAGGUGGUUCCGUGUGGAGCGUCCCACAGAUGUGGAUUUCCUCUCUGUCUUGGUGGGGUUCGGUGCCUAACUGGAACCAUGUGCCUCGGUGUUCGAAGAAAAGGAGCAGAGAGGAUGAUGCUGCAUUUUUAACACACCACACAGCAUGCAAGGGAUUUCCUCGCAACACCUUCCUCGCUGUGAUUCCACAGACCAGUCCGCUGCAGCUGAGGGCUGCGGAGACUCCAUCUAUCCCUGGUUAGCAGUCCCUUGUGGAUAUUUC
rnacentral:lncRNA from 10 species